UCCAUAGCAGGAUAAUGAUGAUAGAGUUAGUAGCAGCAGCAGUGGAGGGAGUUCUCCUGUGGCUGGCCAGCACACCAACUUCAAGGACAGUCCCCACAGCUUUGCUUCUCAUACUUGGUGUCCCCUAGGAGGAAAUCCAGAAGUGUGAAAUGCCUCUCAACUGCUGCUCACCUAGGAAAGUGCCCUAUAACAUUGGUGGUUGCUGCUAAGGAUACUUCUCUGAGGAUGACUGUGCAUGUUGGCUCUUUGGCCUGCUCUGCUGGUGCCUUGAUAACACCUGAUGGUGCCUGACCACAGCUGCCUCCCUGCAGGACAUCUUUGUCUUA